rnacentral:rRNA from 1 species
AAGGUAGCAUAAUCAUUAGUUUYUUAAUUGGAAGCUGGAAUGAAGGGUUGGAUGAGAAAGUAACUGUCUCUAUUUAAAUUUAUUAGAAUUUUAUUUUUAAGUAAAAAAGCUUAAAUAAUAGUUGAAGACGAGAAGACCCUAUAGAGUUUUAUAAAUAAAAUUAUUUAAAAUUUUAGUAUUUUAAAAAUUAAUAAUUUAUUUUAUUUAAUUGGGGUGAUUGAAAAACUUAAUUAACUUUUUUUUCAUAGGAACMUUAAUUUAUGAAUAAUUGAUCCUUUUUUUAAGAUUAUAAGAUAAAAUUAC